AUGACCUGGGAGCAUUACUUGGCUGCCCCGGCCCCAUCGGGGGAGAGGAUCGGCGGUGUCGAGUGCCACACGGUGGCCGACGUUGUGAUCCAGACGUUUUGGACCUUCUACAUGUGUGCUGAGGGACAGGAGGAGGCCGCGGCUCGGGUUAUUGACACCGAGUGCAAGAGCCUACUUCAAAACUGGCGGAACGGAGCUCGGACGAUGACUAUUCGAGACUACUUCGCCUCGACUAGUAUUAGGAUGUCCAAGUCGAAGUGCCGCACAAAGUAUCUGAGUAAGGAGAAGUACAUGAAGGUGCCCCUGAGAUGGUGUGCGGAUAGGCUGGAUUGUUGGGAGGCGUUGGUGGAUGAGUGGUGCUCUCCCCAGUGGCUAUCCACCCACAGCAAUGCAAAGGAUCGGCGUGGCAAAAUGAGCGGUGUGCCACACCAUCAAGGCAGCAUCAACCUAUAUUAG
rnacentral:rRNA from 1 species